GAAAGUAAAGAAGGGCGCAUGGCGGAUGCCUUGGCUCUCGGAGGCGAUGAAGGACGUGAUAAGCUGCGAUAAGCUUCGGGUAGGUGCAAAUAACCUUUGAUCCGAAGAUUUCCGAAUGGGACAACCCGACAUUCUGAAGGAAUGUCAUCCUGCUUGGCAGGAGGCUAACGCAGGGAACUGAAACAUCUUAGUACCUGCAGGAAAAGAAAAUAAACAAUGAUUCCCCCAGUAGUGGCGAGCGAACGGGGAACAGCCCAAACCAUCCAUGUUACGGCAUGGGUGGGGUUGUAGGACUACGCCGUUGCAUGAAGACAUCAGAGAAGAACUUUCUGGAAAGAAAGACCAUAGAGCAUGACAGUUGCGUAUUCGAAUGUUGUCGAAGCAUAGUAGUAUCCUGAGUAGCGCGGAGCACGAGGAAUUCUGCGUGAAUCUGCCGGGACCAUCCGGUAAGGCUAAAUACUCCCGAGAGACCGAUAGCGAACCAGUACCGUGAGGGAAAGGUGAAAAGCACUUCGAACAGAAGAGUGAAAUAGUUCCUGAAACCGUGCGCCUACAAGCGGUCGGAGCUCGUUAAUGAGUGACGGCGUGCCUUUUGCAUAAUGAACCUACGAGUUGCCUUUGCCGGCAAGGUUAAGUGUGACGACACACGUAUCCGAAGCGAAAGCGAGUCUGAAGAGGGCGUAUAGUCGGCAGUGGCAGACGCGAAACCAAGUGAUCUACCCUUGGCCAGGUUGAAGGCUGGGUAACACCAGCUGGAGGACCGCACCAAUAAGCGUUGAAAAGCUUCUGGAUGAGCUGAGGGUAGGGGUGAAAGGCUAAUCAAACUUGGAGAUAGCUCGUACUCCCCGAAAUGCAUUUAGGUGCAGCCUUGCGGGUUACUGAUGUGAGGUAGAGCGACUGAUAAGAUGCGAGGGCUUCACCGCCUAUCAAGUCUUGACAAACUCCGAAUGCGCAUCAGUUCUACCGCAGGAGUGAGGGCAUGGGUGCUAAGGUCCGUGCCCGAGAGGAGAAGAAUCCGGACCACCUGCUAAGGUCCCGAAAUGACAGCUAAGUUAAACUAACGAAGUCUGACUGCUAAGACAGCUAGGAUGUUGGCUUGGAAGCAGCCAUUCAUUUAAAGAGUGCGUAACAGCUCACUAGUCGAGGAGUCGGGCGUGGAUAAUAAUCGGGUAUGAAGUUGUCUACCGAAGCAGUGGGAUCAUUUAUAUGAUCGGUAGGGGAGCAUUCCAGUCGGCGUCGAAGGCGUACCGUGAGGUAUUCUGGAGCGUCUGGAAAAGCAAAUGUAGGUAUAAGUAACGAUAAAGGGGGCGGGAAACCCCCUCGCCGAAAGACUAAGGUUUCCUGAUCAACGCUAAUCGGAUCAGGGUCAGUCGGGUCCUAAGGCUCAGCCGAACGGCGAUGCCGAUGGCAGAAACGGUUAAUAUUCCGUUACUACCUUCAGGAGUGACGUGGAGACGCAGUAGUGACAGUGCCGCCAUCUGACGGAAUAGAUGGUUGAAGGGUGUAGGAGUCGAUCAUGGCAGGCAAAUCCACCAUGAGAUCCGAACCUGAUAGUAUGCCGCGUCCUUCGGGACAAGGCAAUAGUGCGCGUAAGCAUGCUGCCGAGAAAAUCCGCUAAACUUAAUCCUGCAGGUACCCGUACCGCAAACGGACACACGUAGUCGGGUUGAAUAUACUAAGGCGCUUGAGUGAUUCACGGUUAAGGAACUAGGCAAACUGACCCUGUAACUUCGGGAUAAAGGGUCCCUACCCUUUUAUGGGAGGGCGCAGAGAAUCGGUCCAGGCAACUGUUUAACAAAAACACAGGGCUGUGCAAAAUAGAAAUAUGAAGUAUACAGCCUGACACCUGCCCGGUGCUGGAAGGUUAAGAGGAGAUGUCAUCGCAAGAGAAGCGUUGAAUUGAAGCCCCAGUAAACGGCGGCCGUAACUAUAACGGUCCUAAGGUAGCGAAAUUCCUUGUCGGGU
rnacentral:rRNA from 1 species